GAUACUUUAAUGUGAUAAUGGUAGUAAUGUUAGCAAUGUUGGUUGUAAAUCUAGUCCAUGUAGUGAUUGCAUAAGCAUUGUAGGAAAUGUUUUGAUAGAGAAAUACUUAAGCAGUGGUGCAGAAGUAGUCUUUAUAAUUGAAGCAAGGAAAAUUGUGCCAUUAUUGUAAAAGAAUAGUGGUGCCAAUUAAAUGUUGGUUUUAAUAUGGAUCAAUGAAGGAGAUAUAAUAGAAACAUAUGCAUGAAGCUCUUCUUAAAAUACAAUAUUAUAAUAUAUUACUAUGGCUUGAAUAUUCACAUUCUAAAAUUUGUAUCCCCUUUUUU
rnacentral:lncRNA from 1 species